GUAGGGAAUAUUGGGCAAUGGAGGCAACUCUGACCCAGCCAUGCCGCGUGCAGGAAGACGGUCCUCUGGAUUGUAAACUGCUUUUGAAUGGGAAGAAACGUAGCUUUGCGAAGCUAUUUGAUGGUACUAUUAGAAUAAGCACCGGCUAACUCCGUGCCAGCAGCCGCGGUAAUACGGAGGGUGCAAGCGUUAUCCGGAUUUAUUGGGUUUAAAGGGUGCGUAGGCGGCUUUAUAAGUCUGGGGUUAAAGGCGGCAGCUUAACUGUACGCAUGCGCUGGAAACUGUGAAGCUUGAGUGACUUGGAGGUAGCUAGAAUUCCCUGUGUAGCGGUGAAAUGCAUAGAUACGGUGAGGAAUACCGAUUGCGGAGGCAUGUUACUACGAGUAAACUGACGCAGAUGCACGAAAGCGUGGGGAUCAAACAGGAUUAGAAACCCCAGUAGUCC
rnacentral:rRNA from 1 species